rnacentral:rRNA from 1 species
CAGGGCUUGACAUGCCGUAGAGCAGCGUGGAAACACGCCUCCCUUCGGGGCUGCGGCACAGGUGCUGCAUGGCUGUCGACAGCUCGUGUCGUGAGAUGUUGGGUUAAGUCCCGCAACGAGCGCAACCCUCGUCGUCGGUUAUCGGUGUCCGAGGAAACUGCCACGAUCAACGUGGAGGAAGGUGGGGAUGACGCCAAGUCAGCACGGCCCUUACGUCCUGGGCGACACACACGCUACAAUGGCGAGGACAACGAGUCGCCAACCCGCAAGGGGGAGCUAAUCUCAGCAAACCUCGUCUCAGUUCAGAUUGUAGGCUGCAACCCGCCUGCAUGAAGUGGGAGUUGCUAGUAACCGUGAGUCAGCACAUCACGGUGAAUCCGUUCCC